AGUGAACGCUGGCGAUAGGCCUAACACAUGCAAGUCGAACGGCAACACAGUAAGAGCUUGCUCUUACGGGUGGCGAGUGGCGGACGGGUGAGGAAUACAUCGGAAUCUACUUUUUCGUGGGGGAUAACGUAGGGAAACUUACGCUAAUACCGCAUACGACCUACGGGUGAAAGCAGGGGAUCUUCGGACCUUGCGCGAUUGAAUGAGCCGAUGUCGGAUUAGCUAGUUGGCGGGGUAAAGGCCCACCAAGGCGACGAUCCGUAGCUGGUCUGAGAGGAUGAUCAGCCACACUGGAACUGAGACACGGUCCAGACUCCUACGGGAGGCAGCAGUGGGGAAUAUUGGACAAUGGGCGCAAGCCUGAUCCAGCCAUACCGCGUGGGUGAAGAAGGCCUUCGGGUUGUAAAGCCCUUUUGUUGGGAAAGAAAAGCAGCAGGUUAAUACCCCGCUGUUCUGACGGUACCCAAAGAAUAAGCACCGGCUAACUUCGUG
rnacentral:rRNA from 1 species